GAUGAACGCUAGCGGGAGGCCUAACACAUGCAAGCCGAGCGGUAGAGUUUCUUCGGAAACUUGAGAGCGGCGCACGGGUGCGUAACACGUGUGCAACCUACCUUUAUCUGGGGGAUAGCCUUUCGAAAGGAAGAUUAAUACCCCAUAAUAUAAUGAUUGGCAUCAAUUAUUAUUGAAAACUCCGGUGGAUAGAGAUGGGCACGCGCAAGAUUAGAUAGUUGGUGAGGUAACGGCUCACCAAGUCAAUGAUCUUUAGGGGUCCUGAGAGGGAGAUCCCCCAAACUGGUACUGAGACACGGACCAGACUCCUACGGGAGGCAGCAGUGAGGAAUAUUGGACAAUGGGUGAGAGCCUGAUCCAGCCAUCCCGCGUGAAGGAUGACGGCCCUAUGGAUUGUAAACUUCUUUUGUACAGGGAUAAACCUACCCUCGGGAGGGUAGCUGAAGGUACUGUACGAAUAAGCACCGGCUAACUCCGUG
rnacentral:rRNA from 1 species